rnacentral:lncRNA from 1 species
CUCAACCUUCUGCAGCCCUGGUACCCACUCCUGCCGCCUGCCUGGCAAUCACUCGCUCCUCUGCACCAUGCUGUGGCGGGGUAGCCAGGCGCUACGGCACUUCUCCACCGGCCGGCAACCUUUGUCACUAUACUCGUCCACAGGUUUAUUUCAAAAACAAGUUGAAGUUGGCACUUAUUGGCCAGAGCCUGUUUGGACAGGAAGUCUACAGCCACCUCCUGAAAGAGGGUCACCGAGUAGUGGGAGUGUUCACAGUGCCAGACAAGGAUGGAAAGGCCGAUCCACUGG